rnacentral:lncRNA from 10 species
GAGUACAAGCGCAAGCUAGCCAGAGUUUCCCUGGUGCGCAAAGAACUCAGGUCCCGGAUCCAGAGCCUGCCAGACUUAUCUCGAUUGCCCAAUGUCACUGGCAGCCACAUGCACCUGCCCUUUGCGGGAGACAUCUACAGUGAAGAUUGAUGGACCAGCCUCUUUCCAGGUCCCAGGACUUUGCAAGAGAUGGAGACAGUGCAGAGAGCUGUCUGGAGUCACAAUCUGAACAGAUUCUCGGGCGCUCCUUCUCUCCUUCCAUCACUACAGUGUUUUUCAUGCACCAUCUCACUGAGACCUCAACAAAGUUUUUAUGAGUUCUGUCUCUGGCGUGGUCUAAUGUAGCAGCACCAUUACUGUUCCUGAGUAAAAGCAUCCCGAUCUUGGGUUUUUGGUAUCAGUGUGAAUUUCUGCUCAAAAGUAGCAAGAUCUCUUGGACAGUGGCUGCUUCCAUGUCAGGGGCUGAAGGAGUGAAGAUGGUCCUGGAACUUUUCUUUGCAGAGAAGCAAGCAGGGGAUGCCUUCAAAGUUCUGAUGGAGCUGAACAAAGAAGCCAGCUUACAGCUUACUGGCCAAGGUUUAACAACUUGAGCAUCAAAAUGGAAAAUACAAAUUGUAAUUAAUUAAAACAAGUAGACUGUGAA